rnacentral:rRNA from 1 species
GAACGCAGUAGCAAUACUGAGUGGCAAACGGGUGAGUAUAAUGUGGGAAUCUGCCCUUUGGCCUGGAAUAACACGGGGAAACCUGUGCUAAUACCGGAUAAGUCUUUACGGAGAAAGCCUUAUGCACCAUUGGAUGAGCCCGCACUUGAUUAGUUAGUUGGUAGGGUAAUAGCCUACCAAGACUGUGAUCAAUAGCUGAUUUGAGAGGAUGACCAGCCACAUUGGGACUGAGACACGGCCCAAACUCC